rnacentral:rRNA from 1 species
GAUGAACGCUGGCGGCGUGCUUAACACAUGCAAGUCGAACGGAAAGGCCCGGCUUUUGUGGGGUGCUCGAGUGGCGAACGGGUGAGUAACACGUGAGUAACCUGCCCUUGACUGUGGGAUAACUUCAGGAAACUGGGGCUAAUACCGCAUAGGAGAUCCUGCUGCAUGGUGGGGGUUGGAAAGUUUCGGCCGUUGGGGAUGGACUCGCGGCUUAUCAGCUUGUUGGUGAGGUAGUGGCUUACCAAGGCUUUGACGGGUAGCCGGCCUGAGAGGGUGACCGGCCACAAUGGGACUGAGAUACGGACCAGACUCCUACGGGAGGCAGCAGUGGAGAAUAUUACACAAUGGGCGGAAGCCUGAGGCAGCGACGCCGCGUGCGGAAUGACGGCCUUCGGGUUGUAAACCGCUUUCGCCUGUGACGAAGCGUGCGUGACGGUAAUGGGUAAAGAAGCACCGGCUAACUACGUG